rnacentral:rRNA from 1 species
UACAGAGGCGGCAAGCGUUGUUCGGAAUUAUUGGGCGUAAAGAGCACGUAGGCGGCUGUGUAAGUCGGUUGUGAAAGCCUUCCGCUCAACGGAAGAACGGCAUCCGAUACUGCAUGGCUUGAGUGUGGGAGGGGAGAGUGGAACUUCUGGUGGAGCGGUGAAAUGCGUAGAUAUCAGAAGGAACACCGGUGGCGAAGGCGACGCUCUGGUCCGCAACUGACGCUCAUGCACGAAAGCCAGGGGAGCGAAC